rnacentral:rRNA from 1 species
CACAUGCAGCCGAGCGGUAUUUGUUCUUCGGAACAGAGAGAGCGGCGUACGGGUGCGGAACACGUGUGCAACCUGCCUUUAUCUGGGGGAUAGCCUUUCGAAAGGAAGAUUAAUACCCCAUAAUAUAUGAUACGGCAUCGUAUUAUAUUGAAAACUCCGGUGGAUAGAGAUGGGCACGCGCAAGAUUAGUUAGUUGGUGAGGUAACGGCUCACCAAGACGAUGAUCUUUAGGGGGCCUGAGAGGGUGAUCCCCCACACUGGUACUGAGACACGGACCAGACUCCUACGGGAGGCAGCAGUGAGGAAUAUUGGACAAUGGGUGCAAGCCUGAUCCAGCCAUCCCGCGUGAAGGACUAAGGCCCUAUGGGUUGUAAACUUCUUUUAUACUGGAAUAAACCUAUUUACGUGUAAGUAGCUGAAGGUACAGUAUGAAUAAGCACCGGCUAACUCCGUGCCAGCAGCCGCGGUAAUACGGAGGGUGCAAGCGUUAUCCGGAUUUAUUGGGUUUAAAGGGUCCGUAGGCGGAUCCGUAAGUCAGUGGUGAAAUCUCAUAGCUUAACUAUGAAACUG